rnacentral:rRNA from 1 species
GCAAGUCGAACGGUAACAUGAACUAGCUUGCUAGUUUGAUGACGAGUGGCGGACGGGUGAGUAAUGCUUGGGGAUCUGCCUUGAGGUGGGGGACCACAGUUGGAAACGACUGCUAAUACCGCAUAAUGUCUACGGACCAAAGUGGGGGCUCUUCGGACCUCACGCCGUUGGAUGAACCCAAGUGAGAUUAGCUAGUUGGUGGGGUAAAGGCUUACCAAGGCGACGAUCUCUAGCUGGUCUGAGAGGAUGAUC